UUCAUUCCAUACACCAUAUAUGCACCAAACUAGCUAGCUAGGCCAUUUCUCAAGAUGGCCCAACCAUAUAUAGCUAGGCUCUCCUUCCAUGUCACAACCUCAAAUCUUACUCCCGCUAGUGACUUGCUCUUUUUUUAGUCAAAAUUCAUAGCCAAGCCGGUUCAUUAUGAUUACACCACAACCACGUACUACUUCGCCUUUUAUUGUCUUAACCUUGUUGUCCUCAAGCUGAACCUUAAUUCUCUCUAGAAACUAUAUCUAUAUUUGGUUGGCCUACAUAUAGCUAGGCACAAACAUUUAUUUCUUUCUGUGUCAGCUUGCUAAACCUCAACGCAGAUCAAAUAUUUGGAUUUUAAUGUAUGUCACGGUUGGUCUACUCUUUGCUUUUAUAGUCAGCAACAUUAUGCUCUAU
rnacentral:lncRNA from 1 species